rnacentral:rRNA from 1 species
GGGAAUUUUCGGCAAUGGGCGAAAGCCUGACCGAGCAACGCCGCGUGAACGAAGAAGGUCUUCGGAUCGUAAAGUUCUGUUAUAGAGGAAGAACGGUGUACGUAGGAACUGACGUACAAGUGACGGUACUCUGUGAGGAAGCCACGGCUAACUACGUGCCAGCAGCCGCGGUAAUACGUAGGUCCCGAGCGUUAUCCGGAUUUAUUGGGCGUAAAGCGAGCGCAGGCGGUUGGAUAAGUCUGAAGUUAAAGGCUGUGGCUUAACCAUUGUAUGCUUUGGAAACUGUUCAAUUUGAGUGCAGAAGGGGAGAGUGGAAUUCCAUGUGUAGCGGUGGAAUGCGUAGAUAUAUGGAGGAACACCGGUGGCGAAAGCGGCUCUCUGGUCUGUAACUGACGCUGAGGCUCGAAAGCGUGGGUAGCGAACAGG